AAUUAAUGAACUUGUUAAAGUAUAUGUUUUGAAAACAUAACAAAGUAAUAGACCUUACUAUUAAUUU
rnacentral:tRNA from 1 species